AAUAUUGCGCAAUGGGGGGAACCCUGACGCAGCAACGCCGCGUGAGUGACGAAGGUUUUCGGAUCGUAAAGCCCUGUCAUCGGGGACGAAGAAGUGACGGUACCCGAGGAGGAAGCCCCGGCUAACCACGUGCCAGCAGCCGCGGUAAUACGUAGGGGGCGAGCGUUGUCCGGAAUUACUGGGCGUAAAGGGUGCGUAGGCGGCCAAUUAAGUCAGAUGUGAAAUACCACGGCUUAACCGUGGGGGUGCAUUUGAAACUGUUUGGCUUGAGUGCAGGAGAGGAAAGCGGAAUUCCUAGUGUAGCGGUGAAAUGCGUAGAGAUUAGGAGGAACACCAGUGGCGAAGGCGGCUUUCUGGACUGUAACUGACGCUGGGGCACGAAAGCGUGGGUAGCGAACA
rnacentral:rRNA from 1 species